UGAAAAGACUCAAAACAUUCUUAGGUUCACGUCGUUCCGCUAAUUUUGUGUUUAAUAUAUAUGAACUCAAAGAGGUGAACUAUUCCGGUAUAAGUGGAGGACUUGUGAACAAUGGUCACCAUCUAUCCCUUAUUACAUCUGCAGUACGACGGUGUAGACCUCAGCACCUAAUUGUUUUCAUUGGAGGCAAUGAUUUGGACUCGAGUGAACUAGAUUUUAGUUUGGAAUGUAUUGUUUCUAAAUUGACUGCCAAUGUGACUCAACUUAAAAGGUGUUUCCAUUUAAAGUCUGUUACCGUGCUUAGUUUUCUCCCUAGAGAAGUGACUUAUUUAUAAUCAACGAGUCAAAAAAGCCACUAGACUUCUUAAGCAAUUUUGUGCUUGUCACACAGUAACAUUUUGGAAGCUGAGAGGAUUCGCGGAAAGUCAGAAACCAAUCUUAUGCGACGGGGUUCAUCUUAAUGACUUGGGGUUCCAUAAACUGUUUAGACAGAUUAGAGGUGUCCUAUUAAUUCAGCUAAGACAGGAACCCAAGCAUAGUCCUUCUGUAAACAGCAAUGACGACAGGGGCUUCUAGCUUUCAAAGCAUCCUGAUCAAUCUGCAGAUAAGACUUUCCAUCACUUGUUAAAAUUUGUUUGGAUACAGAUUAAGAUUGCAUCCACACCAAAACGCAGGAGGCGGAACAAGGCAGCCUCGCAUCCUCCCACAGAAACCCAACCUCAAAGCGGUCUUAUGUCUCAUGAGGACAGGGACACAAUGAUAAGGACGUGCAUGGCCUCUAACAUCCCAACCAUUUAAGAUACAUUCGACGCUAUAUGGAUGAAUAUCACCAUGGUGAGAGCAAUCCUUCAUCGCCAAUCCCCAUGCAGACUGCAACUUCACAACAGCAAUCAGCCGACACUCAACAAGCCUCUUCACAAGCAGUAACACCUGACCAUUCCCUACUGCAAGAGAUAACUUCUCAAGUUCAAAGCAUCCAGAUCAAUCUGAAGAUAAGACUUUGCAUCACUUGUUAUAAUUUGUUUGGACACAGAUUUAGAUGGCAUCCACACCAAAACGCAGGAGGCGGAACAAGGCAGCCUAGAAUCCUCCCACAGAAACCCAACCUCAAAGCGGUCUUAUGUCUCAUGAGGACAGGGAAACGAUGAUAAGGACGUGUAUGGCCUCUAUCAUCCCAACCAUUGAAGAUACUUUUUGACGCUAUAUGGAUGAAUAUCACCAUGUUGAGAACAAUCCUUCAUUGUCAAUCCCCAUGCAGACUGCAACUUCACAACAGCAAUCAGCCGACACACAACAAGCCUCUUCACAAGCAGUAACACCUGACCAUUCCCUACUGCAAGAGAUAACUUCUCAAGAGUUCCUCCAGGCUAGUGAGCUUCUACAGGAACUGGACUUUGUAACCCCAAUGUAGUGUGUUACGGAUUCGAGCUGUGUCCAGUUUUUAUUGAAGUUUACAUUUUUCCCCGCCAUUCUGAGAAGUGCAAUGUUUACAUGUGCUCCAGGCACAUUUUGAUUACUAUCUCGUCCAUUCGGCGCUCUUAAGCAACAAAGCGUGAAGAAUGGCUGUCUUUUACGGAUUAUAACUUGACGAAUACGUACGAUAUGUUCCGAAAGUAAAAGGAACCAGUUUACAAAAUGAUCAGAGCGCAUGCUGUUUACUCUACUUCUGGAGAAACACGUGUUUUAACCAAAGAAAAAUAAGUUGAAAGAGAGCGAUAAUGGAAUGAGAGUACAAAUGCACUGGAUGUUGACAUCAGAGAAGUGUUAAUACAAGAUUGAGCCGUGCGAAAAAAGGUUUGGCUAAAGUGAUUGGCUGAAUUAAUUGCUGAAAUAAUGAUUAUUUCCAACCAUCCUUGCAGAGGAGGUCCGCAGUCUUCUUUCAAACCUGAAGUGGUCUCGUGCACUGAGGUUGAUGUAAAAGAAGGUUUGCGUCACACACCCUGAGACUACAUCCACUGUCAACAGUGUCAUCAUCUGCUAUGUAGGAGGAGCGAAGUAGCACGCUGCGCAUGGCAUGAUCUGUACUGUUAUACUUCAACUGAUUGACAAGCGAAGCACGUGGAGUCCUGACGUAAAAUCCCGCUCAAUUGACCGACUAUGGAAACCUAAAAGUUUGUACCCUCUCCAGAUGAAUGUCUAAGUACAUGUAAUAAAGAACUGCUCCUACCGAGUUCUCUUGUUACACAAAUUCAGCCUCAAUUAAAGAGCAUGACCAAGAACAUUUACUAA